UCAAUCACACACCGUCGUAUAGUUGUUUUGUUAUCUACAACAAAAAUAUGAUUGAUUUUGGUUUUCUUUCUAAAUUAUUUAUUUUAUGAAUAUGAAAACUUGUAAUGGCUAAAGGCUUCAAAAAUAUGUAACAUAUAGAUAAAUAAACGACUAAAGGCUUCACAAAAUCACAUCUUAAGAAAAGAAAAAAAAAAGAAAUGGUCCUCAGAAACGCAAAAGACAUAUUAAUUUGAUUGGUCCACCUGGAAACCGGCAAGGGGUGGUCAUGGCCACGUGGGAUUUGUGGUCCUUGUUGCGAUCAACGUGUCUCCUUCUGCCACGUGUUUUGAUCUACAAGUGUGACAGCCUGUUUCUCAUCAUCGAGCGUCCAAACCUUCGAAAAAAAAA
rnacentral:lncRNA from 1 species